GGGGGCUCCAGAGGAUUUAAGACAGCCAUGUCCAAACCCAAUUCACAUUCCAGUUGGGCACAAGUUGAAAAGGCUGUAUCCAAAAAAGCUGCCGGGAAGAAGCAGUGCUUGCCCUUCUCACAGGUCCAGGCUAGAGUGUAGGGGAGAUUUCCUGCAGCCUAUAUUUUGCCCUUGCAAUGGACAAUAUGUUAUACAAAAAAAAUCCUCAUUUCUUGGGAGAAGAAAGAAAUAAAUCUUUAAAGGAGGAGAAGAGAUGCUCAAGUUGAGUCAGUGAGUUACUAAAUAGUAGAAAACAUUGAGAAGAGUGCUGCUGCUUGAGAUGAUUUCUCCUCAAGUGAUCUGAAAAGUUGUGUGAGUGAAUUUUCUGCAUCGUGGCUGGGGCUGUGGCCUCAGGGUGGCCGUGUACAGCUUGCUGUGGGCUGCAGUGCCUCGGUGCUUUCCCUCCCUGUUGUACUGCCAGAAGAGUGAUGAGAGGCAUGGUCCAUCCGUAGGCAAACGGGCAUUAGAAGUAUAAAUGGUGACAUUAAAAGUAACCCUGAGAUUUACUUUCUAAUCUGCUGGUCACCACUUGAUUUUUAUAGAGUUAAGCAGAGGUUUUUGAUGUGAACUAGUCCACAUUUCAAAAUGUCUUGUAAGUCAUUUCUAGCCGGCAGUGGUUUAGCAUUUGCAGCUUCAACUCUUCAUCAGAAGGCUGAUGGUUUAUUGUGCUUGACCAAGCGUCUCCGGGGCUGCCCUUUGCAGUUCUGGAAGUUCUCUUGACCCCAGCCCAGCCAGAAAAAGGCUGUCCCGUGCUUUUAUACUGCCCCUGUGCUUCCAUGUGCUCAGGUCCAGCCGGCAUCAUGUUCCCUGCGCGUACCCCCUUCCACAGCGCGGUGCUUCCUCCCCGAGCCGGCAUUAGGGCUCGGCCCCGCAUCUGCGAGGGAUGCUAAAGUCUAGAACAGGGUCUGAGCAGACUCGGUGCCUCCUUCUUUGGGUCCGCUCAGCGCUGCAGCAGGCAGCAGAGCAUGUGUUACACAUGAGAAGUGGUAACAAGCGGGGAUGCUGGUCCAUGUUAAGUAACCUCUUCCAGAUACUCCAGGGAAGCAUGCAGGCACCUGUGGCGGCUGUACCUGUUUGCAGCAGGUUCUCCUCCUGUUGGCAGCAAACUGCCACUGGCAGCCGGUGGGCUGAAAUCUGAGUUUGGAGAAGUCUGCCAUCGCACUGAAGGAAAUACCAGGCUACAGAUGGCAUUCCUCCUUCAAGAUGUGUUUGAUGAAAAAUACCUCUUCUUAAGGAUACAGUUUUGGAUCAAACAAAUAUCCAGAUAAGUUGGAUGUUCUUGCUCCAUCCAAGUGCAUCUGAGCAGACUCAGGGGCAGGUUAGCAGCUCGUUUUCAUUUUACUCUUCUUCAAGGAACAGCCCCGCUUUGCAUAGGUAAGCUAGCACUAGCUUUUGAUAUGGUGAGUGCUCACAGGCUUUACUGGGAAUGGGUUGGAAGAAGAAGGGCAUUCCCUUUCUAGAAAACUUUGACUGAAGGGAAGAAAGAGAAGACCAGACACAAGAUCACAGCGAUGCAGCUGCAGCUUCUCAGAUCCAGGAGAGGGGCAGACAUGUCCCACGCAGGGAGCAAGCAAUGGGUUUUGGCUGCAGAUUAAAGGAGAAGGUGUCAUUUCAGAGGAAUGUUUAGCAACAGUUGAAAAUAGCUAUAAAAGAAAACAAAUGUCACAGAGACAAGGAAUAUGGUAGCUCAGAGUGACAGGGAAGCUUGUUCAGGCUGUGGUUCAGUUCCAGGGACUGAUGACUGUCAGGAGGGAGCACAGCAGGGGAUGGCUGGAGCAGGAGAGUUUCUGCUUCAGAUUUCAGCACUUUUUUGUUUUUUUCUGCCAGCCUAAUUGAGUUGUUAUGAUCAUCACAGCUUUUGGAAUAGCAUCAGAAAAUCAGGAAAAACAUGUUUUUUCCUGGCAUGGAGAAAUAAAAGCAAUCAAUGUCCCUUGUCUUGAAGUUUCCUGCCCUUUUGGGGCUGUCCUUCAAGGAGGAGGGCAGCAACAGGAGUCUCUGCGGCAGAGGUGUGGGAAGCAGAGCUGCCCUGAGGGUGAAUGUUGUCCUGGUAGGGAAGCUCAGGAGUCUGGGAUCUCCCUCUGCUAAGUGAUGUUUGCAGAAAAUGUUUUUCCAGCUUGAAGAGCUUGUGUCCGAGCAUUCAAUGUGAGUUUCACAUUAAAUAUUACCUUCAUUAAAUACCUCAUCACUGGUCUUUUAUUCUCUACUAUUUAGCAUUUUAUCAAAUAUACGGUUAAAAAGGUUGGGAAAUAGCUAGCUUCAGAGUUGCUUGCUGUAACACUUACUUUUGGAGGUAAAAAUGCUUAAAGGGGACACAAGACAUCAGAGAUCAGCAGCACACAGAAAUGAAGGGGAGAAAGCCAAUUACUGGGGAGCAGGAGUUAAUUCUUAGAGUAAAAGUACAGAGUAACCACCAGAUAUUUGCUGUGGUAUUUCGCUGCUUAUAUAACUGGUUAAUUGGUGCUGCCAACUGCCCAGCACUGGGCUGCUCUUGGUUUACCAUAAAGCCACCCAUGUAGAAUACUUCUAAUCCAUUUCUACUUCCUUCCAGCUGAAGAGUCUCCAUAAUGGCUCUAAUCACAGGAAACUUGUAACAUUAGAAUUCCCCUGAGGGUCAGGUACCAGAAAUUCUUACUCUUUGGCAAAAUAAUUUCCCCAAAUCUUUUAGCCAGUGAAUAAAAAAGCAGCUCAGCUUGAGCUGCAGUGUAACCUGUGCAAGUGCAAGUGACCCAGGACCUGACAUAGUGCCCAGUGCAGGCACAGGCAGCAGUUUGUGUUUCCUGCAAUGAGGCGCUACUUACCAGACCAAUAGGGAUUUUUUAGCUCCUUCAAAUCUGGAGUGCACUCAAAAAUACACAGGAAGGUCCUUUUGCUGUAAACUCAUGGUCACCUUCAAGCCUGGAUGGAGACCCACGUUAUUUAAGGAGUUCAUUUGUGCUAGAAAAUUUGGGUGGAUACUGCUCUGACAGCAUGUAUGAAUCUGUAAACACUUGACCCAAAUCCACUGAGGGAAGGAAAAGACCCUUUGCCAAUCCUUGCCACUUGCUCCUCAUCUCUCCAAAAUAAACAGGCUGGUAUAUUUUGGUUUAGCAAAAGUGUUUAAACAAAUUGCAUUUGACACAAGUUAAAUUCAGUAAUAUUUCAAAAGUGAAAACCACAAUAUUCCUUCAAGAGCACACUGAAUAUUUAGAUAUUAAAAAACUCCACCUGGCCAGACCCCACUGUGGCAUGCACUGAGUUCCCAGCCCUCUCUGCUGUUACUUCCUACACUGAUUGUGCAGGAGAACCCAUGAUUUAUUGACUCCCACUCCACUGCCUGCAGCUUCUCAUGACUUCCACUCACUCAGAGGGUACAUCUGUUAGGUUUUUCUGCUGCUCAAUUUAUGUCCUUUUUAUAGUAUUCCUUUGUCAGAGAGACAUCAGGUAUGCUGCAAAAAAAUUUUUUUUAUACCACACAAGUCAAUAUUUGCAUUGAAAGUGAGCUCUGCUCAUUUCAAUAAUGAAAAUGUUCAGCUUUAUCUUACUUUCCAAGUAAGAGAACCAUGAUGCCUGGAAUCCUGGUGGGGUAAACUGCUGGUAGAAAUACAAGCUGUGCAGGAGCUGCCAGAGGAAAGAGGGAAGGGGUGCAGGAGCAGCUCCUGGCUGCAGUACUGUGUCACUGGCUGUGUCCCCUACUCCAUGUGCAGGAGCUGUAGGAGGUCAUGGUUUGACCCCAGCAUGACACUGCUGUGCAGCUCAGCAUUGGAGGAGCUACACAAAUGAAUUUGUGGAGUAAAUAUUUCCAGAGCCACACAAAGCCAGAAAACCUCAGGUCUCUGCUGUGUGGCUUCUGCCAGAGCUCCUGCUGGAAGUGCUGGAGCUGCGUUGGGUGGCUGAGCAGAGAGCAGGAGACAAUUUAAUUGGUGGCUGUACAAAAAAGCUGCAUCCAAAGAGCUCCAUCCCGCCCCAUGGCCUCUGUAUGCUGCCUCUGCCAGGCACGGCUCUCUGCUUGUGUGUGAGAACCCCGGGAUUGAUUCAGGGGUCUCGUGUGGUGGUAAAUCUCUCCUCCAACCCGUGAUUCCAAAGAAAAACUCCGCAGCCUCUUGUUGUUCGGUCUCAAGGCAGUUUAUUGCUAGUUGUCGAAAAGAUUGUCUUCGCCGGCUGCGGCUGCCUAGGUCAGCAGCCCAGGCAGAGACACACACACUCCUGACACCCUCACUGUCUGGUGUCUUGUCUUCUCUCUCCCCGCCCAGGGUUGCUGCUAUCUUUUAUAUGAUAUAUUACGUAUUAUAUGUUUACAGAUUUUCCCCAAUACCUACUAUCUAUGUUACAAUGUGCUUUUCUACUCUAAACCAAUCUGUGAGUGCCAACAUCACCAAGAACAUGGAGGCAAGGAAG
ensembl:lncRNA